GGGUUGUGAGGUUAAGCGACUAAGCGUACACGGUGGAUGCCCUGGCAGUCAGAGGCGAUGAAGGACGUGCUAAUCUGCGAUAAGCGUCGGUAAGGUGAUAUGAACCGUUAUAACCGGCGAUUUCCGAAUGGGGAAACCCAGUGUGUUUCGACACACUAUCAUUAACUGAAUCCAUAGGUUAAUGAGGCGAACCGGGGGAACUGAAACAUCUAAGUACCCCGAGGAAAAGAAAUCAACCGAGAUUCCCCCAGUAGCGGCGAGCGAACGGGGAGGAGCCCAGAGCCUGAAUCAGUGUGU
rnacentral:rRNA from 1 species